UUUUUUUUUGUAUUAGUUCAUUAAUUUAAAUAUAAAACUUUUAGUUUCAAUUGAUGUUUUAAUAUGAUAAUAAAGAACUAUCAUAAAAAACAGACAUCAUAGAUUGAAACUCAAAAAAAAAAUUAUAUCUUUUAUCUCCAAUCUCGCCUACUUAAGAUUUCAUCUAUUAUAUAAUUGAAGACAUAUCUCAAUAUUUAGAAAAUUAUUAUUUGAACAAUGAGAAGUGACACAACACUUUCCUUUUGACCAAAAAAAAAAAAAAAUGAAAAAGAGAGAGAAGUGACACAGCACCCAAUAUUUUCUUUUUGACUAAAUGGCACAACAUUAUUGGCUUCACAGCCAAAUGCGACAUUCUCAUAAAUUUCACAAACUCAAGCACUUAAAAAAAAAAAAUACAGUUGACGAAGUCCUAUUAUUGCUAUUCACGGAAUUCCCGCCUAUUUUCACGCAAUUUCCUUUUUCAACUUUAUCUUUUUCUUAAUUAAAAAAAAAAAAAGAAACAGAGACAUGGAAGAAAAUGAAAAAAUAAAUAAAUUUUUUAUGAAGGUUCCAAGAUAAUUAUCCAAAACUUUUCAUCAUACUCGUCCCUGUUUUUGGUGUUGACCUUUAAUCAAACUGAUUAUUUUAUUAUUCAAAAAGAUAAUUUUUUUAAUAUAUAUAAAAAUAAACAUAGUACCAAGUUCUUCUCUUUGGCCUUUUGUUCAAAUCCUUAUUCUUGUUCUCUGUUCUGCCGGAUCCGAUAAUUUGGUUGAGUUUCUGCUGGUAAUUAGGAAAACCCAUCAAAAGAAGAAAACGAAAUCCAAGGAAAUCUCUCAUCUAUCCAAAGCUGAAUUCAUCAAACCUUUCAGCCUCAGGUACACAGUUAGAGAGGGUGUUUGUUUGGUGAUUUCUAUAAUUCUAUGCAGAUAAUAAUAAGAAACAUCAACGCAAAAGCGGCAUGGUAUGAUCUAAACCCACAACUUAAAUUUUCAUUUCUCUUCAUAUAUUGGUUUAGAAUAUCCUUAUUCAAUUGUUCUAGGUGAUGAGUUUGAAUUAUUAGUGGGGGGUUAAAAACCAAAAACAGAAACCUUUGGUUAGAGAAACAUAUUUGGAUUAGUUGUUGACAUGAGCAACAAGCAACCAAUUGAGCUUGACGAUGAUCAAAUCGCUGAGCUGCGUGAAAUAUUUCGUUCAUUUGAUCGGAACAAUGAUGGGAGUUUGACACAACUUGAGCUAGGAUCUCUCUUGCGAUCACUUGGUCUAAAACCAAGCCCGGAACAGCUUGAAACCUUGAUUCAAAAGACUGAUACGAACAGCAACGGUCUGAUUGAGUUUUCGGAGUUUAUAACACUUGUGGCACCUGACCUCCUUCCAGCUAAGUCUCCAUAUACAGAAGACCAGCUGAGGCAGUUGUUUAGGCUUUUUGAUAGAGAUGGAAAUGGGUUUAUAACUGCGGCCGAGUUGGCCCAUUCUAUGGCCAAGUUGGGGCAUGCGCUUACUGCAGAGGAGUUGACCGGGAUGAUCAAGGAGGCUGAUUUGGAUGGAGAUGGGACAAUUAAUUUUGAGGAGUUCUCCCUAGCAAUAAAUUCCGCAGCAUUUGAUAAUUCAUGGUCUUGAAACCAAACAUUGGGAUUUCAUUUUGGUACCGUUGGCCACUAUCUAGGCUGUAGAAGACUGGAUUUGUUUGCAUCAAAUAACAUAUUUAGGAGUCUUGCACAUCAAAAUUCUGUACAGUUCAAGGUAAGACAAAUCUCCAUUCCAGCAGGUUGAUCUAAUCCCACAUGCCCACAGCUCUAUGAUUAUUGGAUUAUGCAGGGGCUGAUACGUUUCAUCCAUGAACGUUCGGCAAAGUGAACGUGGCACAGACAUUCCCUUUUGAUGUUCUAAUUUAGUAUGUUGGGUGAGUCAAGAAGUUUGUAUUUGCUUCAAUGUCCCCAUUUCUUGGUAAAUGACAUUAAAUCAGUAAGAUCUGUUAGCUUUUUUGUUUUGAAUAAUUUCAUGCCCUUAGGUUUGAAAUAUUGUUCAUGUUGCAAUGUAUUGAUCAUAAGCGUUUGCAUCGACACUCAAAUAUUACUACUGAUGAGAAAUUUAAAUUU